AAUUGAAAAUUGCGCAAAACAAAAGGAAAUCAAAACAAACUAUUGACGACGGGCCACGCUUGGACCCCGGCGUACCCACCCUGCCUGAGAUGGCUACAUCGGCGACAUCUCCUUAGCGUUGGCCACUAUAUCAGUGGCUGCUCCUCAUCCGGCGUAGUGCUGUGGAAUUCCCCUCCCUUCCAUGCUGAGAAACUUACACAACCAUGUUCAUCAUAUUCGAAUUUCAUUACAGCUACACGGAACAGGAUUCGAAGCAAAAGCAAAUAACAAAACAAACAAGGCGGAACAACAAAGAAAUAAUAACGGAGUAGGGACAAUUAUAUAUGGUAUGUAAAGAGAUCACAGAUAGGUAUAUUUAUGUAUGUAUGUAUACGCAUAUUUGGGUGUAUGUAUGUAUGCUUGAUUCGCUUAAAUGUCUACCUUGACCUGCCUAAGAGCUCUUGAGGUUUGGUGAAGGGGCGAUAGGUGAUGAUAUAGUCGAUAUAUGUAUAUACUUUUUUUUUAUAAAUAUAACCAAACAUUUGUAUUUCCGUAGAGGCAAAUGUUUAUCUGGAUAAAUUCUUGUCCAACACCUCUGUCAUUUCACAACAAAACAUUGAUUUAUUUUACUUUAAUUUGUACUCUACUUUAAUUAGCUUUAAUUUAUUUUACUUUAAUAUAAUUUUAAUUUACUUCGCAACAUUUAUAAUUCGCUGAUCAACAAAAAAAGUCGGCGGAAAAUAAAAUAUAUAUCGAGGACUCGAAACCAAAGAAUUAUUUGCUGUUGAUGUUUACGCAACGUGACGACAGUUGCAAAUGUUUUAACGUAGCGCACUGGCGGUCGGAAAUAGGGCGGGCUUGGAACGGACUCACCAGUCGAAUUCCUCCUCCUGCCUCAGCGUUGGCGGCGUUGUCUCGCCCACUAUCCCACGUCGUGGAUGCUUCUCCACGUCGUUGAAGAGCCGUGUGCCUUCUCGCGGCGACGGUCGCCCGCGCUUGUCCAGCGGUGAUGUUCUGGUCGUGGCUGUCGUUGUCGUUGUUGUUGCAGUCGUGGUUGUUGUUGUUGCCGUAGCUUGUUGCAAUUGCUUGGAUGUAGCUGCCGUCGCUCUCUGCU